rnacentral:rRNA from 1 species
GACGAACGCUGGCGGCGUGCCUAAUACAUGCAAGUAGAACGCUGAAGGAGGAGCUUGCUUCUCUGGAUGAGUUGCGAACGGGUGAGUAACGCGUAGGUAACCUGCCUGGUAGCGGGGGAUAACUAUUGGAAACGAUAGCUAAUACCGCAUAACAGUAGAUAUCGCAUGAUAUCUACUUGAAAGGUGCAAUUGCAUCACUACCAGAUGGACCUGCGUUGUAUUAGCUAGUUGGUGAGGUAACGGCUCACCAAGGCGACGAUACAUAGCCGACCUGAGAGGGGGACCGGCCAGACGGGGAUGGGAACCCGGCCCAGAGUCCUGCGGGAGGAGGGAGGAGGGAAUCUUCGGCAAUGGAGGGAAGUCGUACCGAGCAACCCCGCGUGGGGGAAAAAGGUUUUGGGAUCGUAAACCCCUUUUUUAAGAGAAAAACGGGUUGGGGAGGGGAAAGUCCCCCCUGUGACGGUAUCUUCCAAAAAAGGGACGGCAACCUUCUU